CCAGGAGAAAACACCAUAAAUUAAAAGACUCAAAAUUUGUAGAAAUUGUAUGGAGAAAAAAAAUAGAAUGAGUAUGAAUGAAUAGUAAGAGACAUGAUCCUAAGGAAACAGAACUGAUUAGAUAUUCCUAUUUUUGUUUUAUUUGUAAGUAUGUUGGAACUGGAAUUGCCUUUUGUCCCCACAAAACCACUGAGAAUACUUUAACAUCAGCAAAUUAGUAGGACACAUUGAUUUAAUGAGAGGUUGGGGCUCAAUGCAAAACUUCCCAGCUUGUAAAUAUGAGUUGUUUUGAGCUCAUUUAGCUCUUUUUAUUCAUGAGCAAGAUCACAAAAGAAGAAAACAAGUUCAUGCAGUUCUGAGGAAUAAUGAAGUAAUCAAAAAAAGGCUAUUUCAAAAAUAGCCAUUAUAAGCUAAUAGCCAAACUAAAAGUAAAAAUAGGUGCACAGGGGUCUAUUUAGUUGCUAAUGGAUACAGUAGAAUAAUGCAAUCUGUUACUGGUUUUGAAAACUGAAGUCUUUAUCUAUAUUAAUAUUGUCCAGAAAGUUCUUUUCUUCCAUUUUUAGGCAACAAGACCACAUGACAUCCCUUUGACUCCCACAACAUACACCUGCAGAGGUAGUUAAGGUUUUUAAAUAAAAGUUUUCUUGUCCUAGUAAAAGAAACUGCAAAUUUACAGCUCCAACUUCAUCCAGAUGGAAGAAUACCUGAAGCCUGAGCCAUCCUUGAUAACUUGCAGCUCCUUCACAGCUCACACAGUGUAACAUUCUGUCGUACAAAAGGGUUCAAGGAAAGCCUAAUUAUUACAGAAGCAAUUUCCCUUCAAGGUCAUACAGCCACCACUACUGCCAGACUCAAGAAUCCUUACAGGAGAAAGUGACUCUUGAAAAUCCAGGCUUGGAGCUGCUGUUCUAAUGGUUGGCUGAACCAAGGCAGAAAAAAGCACUGACCAGGAUUUAUAACGUGGCCUUAAUGUCCCAAAAGCCUGAGGCAAAAGAGAAGAGUGGAACCCCUAAACUGAGCAUAAUUUAGUAAUUUUCUGUGUGGCAGGCUUCUUAUUUUCUCUUAUUAAACGAAACCUGGUUUAAGUCUUUCAAGCUUUCUUACAUUUGAAAGGAAAAAGAUGAAGAAUGAGUGUCUAUUAAGGGAACAUAAAGUUAAGGAGAUGGGCAUUCUGCCUUAAUUUUCUUUAACAUAAGUGCACUAAUUCCGUACUUCUACACUUGACAGUGCUUUUGUAGUGAUAAAGGCAACUGUGUGCAACUGUUUUAAAAGCAGUCACUUUAAAAGUAACAGGCCAUUAAAUCAAUAUAGAACUGUAAUAUAUUUUGGGGGAAAUAUCACAACUCUUUUAAUUGAAGCUUCAUUUUUUUUUUUAAUUUAUUUGCAUUCUCCAUGGGUCCUAAGAGUGCUGAAUAAACAGAAAUACCUUUGACACAAUAGCAUCAAUAGCUGUACCACAUAACUGAAAUGUAAACGAGUUCUGACUCCUGUGUGGCUCUGCCUUUCCCUAGUAUCAAUAAUACAUGGAAUGAUACAUAAAGCUGUGGAAAAGGGACAGCUGGGUACACGGUGCUCACAAGUGGAGCACAGGAAAACCAGUCAGCACUGCUUUUCUAAAAGCUAAGUACUAUACUUCCAUCAAAAAAUAAUGCUUCUGUGUAUACAGUCUUCAUGGACUCAUCUCUCUGUGCAAUAAAGCUGGAUGCACUGGAGAGAUCAUUCCAGUAUUUCAUUUGGAGCUCUGAACUGUUCUGUGCAGGGUGCAGCUGUUUGCUUUACUACAGUACACUGCAGAC